GAGACAGGGGCAGCACCCCCUGUUUGCUGCCUUUCCAGGGAGGGCAGCACGAGAAAGAAAGAGGGAGGCAAGCGAAAUUCCUGAAUGGAUAGACAGAUGCUACGUCAUCGGAGCCGCAUCCUCCACUCCACAAGAGGCUAGGAGCCGGAGAAAGAGGCAGGCCAGCGGCAGGGGCCACCGAGCCAGCGCGCCUCCUCCCAGAAGCCGGAGCAGAGCAUCGGAGAAGAAGCAGCCUCAUUUGCUUCUGGUGUCAUCGAACCUUCCUGACCCAGGGAUUGAACUUGCCUCUCCUGCUUCUCCUGUAUCGGCAGGCAGAUUCUUUACCACUGAGCCACCUGGGAAGCCCUACUAGCUGCGUGGCCUUAGGAAAUUUCAUGAUCUUGCUUAUUCCUGUCUUGGAAAAUCCUUUCCAAUGUCUAACCAAGAUCUGUACUGCUGAAGUACCAGUUCUUUGACCUAUGGCUUGACAUGGCUGAUUUGAGAGGUACAGCUUCCCACCACCCAGGAAGGAAGGAACUGGCCUGGAUUUUGGCAACCUCUUGCUUGUGUUGAAGAUGUGGCUGGGGAAGAAGCCACAGGAGCUGUAGAAGUCAACAAAAUCUUUUCAGACCAAAAAGAAGAACCUACUUCAUCCAGUUGGCUUCAGUGCCCUGUGAGAAGCCUUCCUGAUUGACGGAAAGAUGAGACUAAAUUCUAGCAAGUUGAGUGGCUCCUUCAAGAAGCCUGUGUGCAGGGUAGAAGUGGAGAGGCCAUAGCCUCCAGCCUGGGCAGCCCAUUGGCACCUGGAGCCACCUCAACUUUGCCUCCCCUUUGCUCCUGUGUCUAUAAGCUGCCCAGCCCAGCCCGUCCUGGUUUCUCCUGUGUCUUCUGAGCUGAGAUUUCUCUGAGAUGGAAGCCCCAUCCCAUGUCUAAUAAAGACUCUUGAAUACUGAAAAAAAAAAAAAAAA
rnacentral:lncRNA from 1 species